CAACUUCAGGAACGCAUGUGUAUUUCGAUAAGGAGACUGAUUCAGGGGGAGUUGGUUUCUAUCAGUAGGUUUAUCGUUAGUUAAACAUGUAUGUGUACUGCUACUUAUUUGAAUACCUGAUCAUUAUUCUAGGUUGGUCGCCAGGGACACCGGUAUACCGUCAGCCGCUCCGCUGCUCAAAUCAUAUACGAAGGUCGAAAAGAUGACCAUCCAUGAGCUCAACAAUUUUGUUGUCUCUGCUGCGUCUCAGGAAAUUGAUUUCAUGUGCACUGGGAGGGUUGUUCGUGUUGACACCGAUAAGGGGUGGUGCUAUGUUGCUUGCUCCAAAUGCAGUAAAAAAAUUGCAACAUACUGACUCUGCCUAUACGUGUGGACAAUGCAAUAAUUCGCAUGCUGUUGGACUCUUCGCUAUCAUGUGGAAUGGCUAUAUCUGAUGAUACUGCGGAAAGCACUUUCGUUUGGUUUGACGGGGUAAUGACAAAACUGCAUAGUCUCCGAGUAAGUGAGGCUGUACAGAUGCUGGUACGAUACUUCUCUGUUUACAUGCAUGUGUGUCACCCGCUGAGCGUACUCUAUUUCCCAUCUGAUAUCAUGUCAUAUAGGCUGAGGACGAAGUGAAUCCUGAGUAUUCCAGGAUACCUCCGUUUAUUGCAGAAACGGAAGGAAGG